rnacentral:rRNA from 1 species
CGCGUAGGCGGAUGGCAAAGUCAGGGGUGAAAUCUUUCGGCUCAACCGGAAAAGUGCCUCUGAUACUGGCUGUCUUGAGGGAGGUAGGGGCAUGUGGAACUUCCGGUGGAGCGGUGAAAUGUGUUGAUAUCGGAAGGAACGCCGGUGGCGAAAGCGACGUGCUGGACCUCUUCUGACGCUGAGGCGCGAAAGCUAGGGGAGCGAACGGGAUUAGAUACCCCGGUAGUCCUAGCCCUAAACGAUGGGUACUAGGUAGUGGACUUGACAUGGGUUCACUGCCGAAGCAAAAGUGGUAAGUACCCCGCCUGGGGAGUAUGGUCGCAAGGCUGAA